AAUGCGACCAGAAAAUUCCCAUUGAUCCUGUGGGAGAUUGCUGCUAUUGGAAUCCGAAUUAGCCAUGCAAGUUCAGGGGGCUCGCAAGAGUCACCGGCAUAAGGCUCAGUAACACGUCGAUAAUUUGCCCUUAGGUCUGGAAUAACCUCGGGAAACUGAGGCUAACACCGGAUAUGAGAUUGAUACUGGAAUGUUCUUUCUCAGAAAGGUAACGCCUAAGGAUAAGUCGGCGGCUGAUUAGGUNNCACCUGCGCCACAAGUGGCAAUCGUAAUUAUUGGGUCUAAAGCGUUCGUAGCCGGUUUAGAAAGUCUCUUGUGAAAUUGUUGAGCUUAACUUAACAGCGUGCAAGGGAAACUUCUAAACUAGAGACUGGGAGGAGACAGAAGUAUUCCAGGGGGAGCGGUAAAAUGUU
rnacentral:rRNA from 1 species